rnacentral:snRNA from 1 species
GUCCUUUCGGCGACAUCCGAUACAAAAAAAAUUAACAUGCCCCUGCGCAAGGCUGACACACACAAAUCGAGAAAUAUAAAAAAUUUCA